CAGGAAGAGCCUACUCCCUGCCAGGACGUAGGAGAUGUUUUUCCAUUGGCCUUGGGUUUGGGAGCUGGAGGGUUUGUGGGUGUUGUUUUAAAAUCAGGUCUGUUUUGUGGGCUUUUGCAGUAUUUGGUACCCGAAGCCGAGCACGCAGAUCAUCCUGGGAGGACAAAGAGCCAAAAGACAGCUGGUUUCCAAAGGAACGUUUUUCCCAUUCCACAGAUCCGUACCAGUCAGUGGGACUGACCAGGCUGGUUCCUGUCACUUCCUGCCCCAGCAGUCAGCUGUCUUGCCCCACACUUGUCAUGUGGGCACAGGGAUACCACACUUGCAAGGGCUUCUCCAAAGGUUUUCUGCCAGGAGUGCUCCAG